AUUGAACGCUGGCGGCAUGCUUUACACAUGCAAGUCGAACGGUAACAGGCCGCAAGGUGCUGACGAGUGGCGAACGGGUGAGCAAUGCAUCGGAACGUGCCCAGUCGUGGGGGAUAACGCAGCGAAAGCUGCGCUAAUACCGCAUACGAUCUAUGGAUGAAAGCGGGGGACCUGUAAGGGCCUCGCGCGAUUGGAGCGGCCGAUGUCAGAUUAGGUAGUUGGUGGGGUAAAGGCUCACCAAGCCGACGAUCUCUAGCUGGUCUGAGAGGACGACAAGCCACACUGGGACUGAGAAACGGACCAGACUCCUACGGGAGGCAUCAGUGGGGAAUUUUGGACAAUGGGCACAAGCCUGAUCCAGCAAUGCCGCGUGAAGGAAGAAGGCCUUCGGGUUGUAAACUGCUUUUGUACGGAACGAAACGGCUCUGGUUAAUACCUGGGGCUAAUGACGGUACCGUAAGAAUAAGCACCGGCUAACUACGUGCCAGCCGCCGCGGUAAAAC
rnacentral:rRNA from 1 species